GGCGCCGGAAAUGCCAAUGUGGCAGUCAGAAUCGAUGAGGUGGCAGCCGGAAUUCUCCACUUGGCUCAUUUUUUGACAUGUGGAAAAAAAAAUUUAAAAAAAGAAAACAAAAAAGGAAAAUCAACCCUCCUUCCCCCCCAAUCGUCAUUUCCCUCAGCCCAAACCCUAACUCUCCCUCUCCCCACCCGGCGCCGCCCCCUGCCACCUCCGCCACCGCCGGCGCCGCCACCCGCAGCCACCACCACCAACGUUCUACCGCCUGGAGCAGCGGAAGAAGCUCCAGAUCUCGAUCAAGCUCC
rnacentral:lncRNA from 1 species